GUCUAAAAAAAAAGAUAAUAUGAGAUCUAAAAUAAAUAAAAAGAAUUAUAAUUAUUGGAUAAUUUGCUUAUUAAAAUUUUAGUUUUCUAAAAUGGUUUUUGAAUUAUAAUGACUUAUGAUUAUAUUUAGAUUAAUCGCACUAAGUUCUGGAGAAAAUGAUUUGAACAUAGAUAUCUGGGAAAAAUGUAAAGGACUUGAAGCAGAGCGUAAACUAAGAAACUAAUAACCUUAAAUUUCAAUUUCUGAAAUUAUUCAUAUUUUAUAUGUUGCUUAACACCAAUCAAUUGUGAUUGGUAAUGAUACUGAUGUAUCCUGUAAACAUUUUAAGUGCAUUGGUUUUCCAUUCCCUUCUACACUGUAUUUUAAACAAAAAAUAUCAAUCUUUAAUAAAUAAAUUUAGUAAAAUAUAACUAGUGAAUAACAAGUAGUGCGAAUAUAAAUUAAAGAAUAUGAUAUACAUACAACUAUUUGGCAAAUUUACUUUUGAGAAAAAUAACAUUUGAACUGGUUUUACAAUGUGCUAACUAUUAUGCAAAUGGUAAGUGGACCAUUAUUUCAUGUGUGCUAAUU